AUACAGCUCGUCACCACGCGUUCAUCGCGUCGAGUCGACUCAAAGGAAGAGGGUGGAUGGAAAGCAGGCUAGUUGGUGAGAAAGGAGGUGGAACAAUCGGGCAAAUUUCCUCUGCUACGACUGAUUAUAGCAUUGGUUAGAUUUGAAUACGAGUUCGCAAAGAAGAUUCCUUGCCACGAUGUUAAGUCGAAUGCAGAGAUAAAUGUAGAGGAGAAUCGAAUGGAUAUAUAAUUUUUCGUUCUCAAUUUGUGAUCCAGUUUCCAAACUCAUCAGGCUAAUGGUCGAUGUUAUAAUUAUCGAUGCUUGGACGAAAUGUUAUUUUUGGCAUCGUUCGUGUGGAGUAUGCCGAGACGACAAAUCAUUUUCGAUCACGAGGAAAUAGUAAAUGCUAAUCGAACAAAUCCUUCUCAAGCUUUCAGUUUCCAAUUUUAGUGAGAGAAUUCAACGAAGUUGUAACAUGAACUAAAAAAUAUCAUAGAUCAAAGCAAGAAGUAUAAUUUUAAAUUUUGUAGAUUAACAAUAUAUCAAUGCAAAAUUGGACGUUCCAAUUUUUAUACAAAUUUUGAUUAUAAAAUAUUAGCCGGAUCGCCGUAAUGAGAAUACAAAAGGACGACGAGGGAUAGCACUGGUCAUAAUUUAUCGUUGGCAUUUCUCAUUGUCGUCUGUCUCUGUUCCACGCUUUGAAAAAUAAGAAAAACGCGCGACACGCGUUCGAAAGUUGAAAAGAUAUAAAUUAGUAUAAUUUCGCGCCUCGAAUUUUUCUCACUUUAGUAACAAAAUAAAGUCUUUUGUUACUUUCUUCGAUUAUCACCAAGGAUAUUUCACUAUGUUUAAUCACACAGCUAAAUAAAUAUAAUGAUUCCAAAAGCUUUUAAACGCAUCAAGGUUGAUCCUGUUUCAUGCCCUUCAUACGUAAUAUGAAACGGUGUUUAAUUUGAAGAUUUCAUGCAACGAAUUUUUGUUUUCUUUUUACAAACUUAAAUGGCUUAAAAUAUUUUAAUGGAAAAAGGAAUGAACGUGGUAUUUGUUUACAGAGAAAACGAAAUGUGCGAAUGUGUCUGCAAAGUCUAAGUUUUUAAAUAUUCAUAUGGAAUAAACCGGCUUAUCAUUCUUCUA